rnacentral:lncRNA from 1 species
CCAAGCUGCUCAGCCUGGUAUUCUGAACUUUGCCUCUGGAUCCUGACUUUUGAAUGCAUUGCAUAUUCAAAACCAGAAUAUCACUACAAUCUUGAUCUCUCUGGUGGCAUAUUAUGUAUUUUAGGUUUAUUUUGAGAGUGAUUUUUCAGGUAUGACUUGGAAGAGAUAUUUGUAGUUGGAAUAUUAGGGAAUCUUCAAAUUUCAUACACAUAUGCACAGGUACACACACACAUAGUGUACUUUUUAAAAUAGUAUAUUAAUUAAGAAGUUUUUAAAAAGUUUUUAAUGUGUCCCCUUCCCAUGUUGUCCCAGGCUCAUUAGCAAUGGUCAUUAAAAAUGAUCAAAGAGGUUGAGUGACAGCUUCCCAGGUCACCCCACAUGGGGCAAUGCUUGACAGCCUUGCGACAGCUUGCUAAGACCCACAGCCAUGUAUGUAACUCUGAAUAGUAAAUUUGGAAGCGGCUCAAUAGGAUCUAUGCACUUAAUGUCAAGACCUUAAUUUGUAAGAACUCACUCGGAGCAGGCUUGGGGGAUACGUAGAGGAAAAUAUGUCCACUGGGCUGGUGACCCCAACUCUGUUCUUAGCCGAGCAUACCAUGGCUUCCAGAGAAACCUCUGCUCAUAUCACUGCAUGGUCUCUGUGUAUGUAAGUGCAUGUGUAUGUGUCUGCAUAUGUGUGCAUGUAUGUGUAGAUUGUGUGCAUCAGAGAGCACGUGAGUUUGCUUUCACUCGGGAUGACUUGUUUCUUUUUCUUUAGGAACUGUUAAGAAACCAAGUAAAAGUCUCCUGUAAGCUUUUGGACUCCUGGAAAAACCCUUUGCUGAGGAUUGCUGAAUCCGAGAAAGACAUUAACCGGUUAUCUUACCUCUCUACCAGCUCUCCUCCCAGUUUCCAGCUCAGACCCUUCAAAGGUUUCUCCCACCUGUUCUUCCUCAGUUCCCCAACAAUGUGCUUGAACGGUCUAUUUUCCCAGUUUCCCCACCAGCAGCUACAAACUGUAAGGACUGUUCUAGCCUAUCUGCUCAGCUCAGCAUUUCCUGCCUCAACUGCCACCAGCCUCUCUUCUCAGUCUGCUAGCCCAGUCCACUUUCAUCUGUCUUCUAACAGUGUUUUCUGGCUCAACUGUCUUGUCUUCUUCUGUUGGCCCAGUGCUCUUUCUCUGCCUCAGCUGUGCCUCAGCUGGCCUUUUUAUAUCCUCCCCUGUUUCCAGAAACCCAAAAGGCAACCAACACUGGCAACCAUAAGAUCAAGCAGUUCUAACAGUUAAAAAUUCUUAAAGGGCCAGAUGACAAGCAUCUGGGAUUCUUUAAAUGUCCAGCCACACAAAAUAAGUUCCACUACAGCUAGCUCUCUGAACCUGAGGUUAUGGGGCUUGGGGCAUGACUGCGCCCACAUCAACAACAUACAUGCACUCAGGAUUUCACUCUCUCAGGAGCUACAUUUCUCAGGUCUAUUUUAAAUGUCCUCCUCACUCCAGAAUCCUUGAAUACUGCCUCUUUGAUAGACCCUACCCAGUCCCCUACCUCUUCCUCAUGAGUACCUCAAUUCUGAUAUAUUGAUCCAGCUGAGACUAUGAAUCCUGCUUCAGCCAGAUAGCCAUCCAGUGCUCUGUGCCUCCUGAAGCUGCUUGUUGGCAAUCCACACUCCAGCAGCCUAGUACCUGAGCUAGAGCAUGAACUGUGGAGGGCCUUCGUUUUGUGCAAUUGUCCAAAGCCACUGGUUGGAUCAUCAUUGGCACGCAAUCUGAUGAGUAUGUUAGAUACAUGUAUGGAUGAAUGACUUCAACAGUGCUUGGUGCAAGACUGUAUUUAGGAUUAUAUACCUAAACACUCGAGCUAAAGAGAUGGCUCAGUGAGUUGAGGCACGAGCGUUGCCAAGUUGGACAAUCUGAGUUCAAUUUCUGGGACCCACAUGAUUGAAGAAGAGAUCUAAGUUCCACAAAUUGCCCUUUGACCUUCAUAUGUGUCCUGUGACAUGGGCACAACCCCACUUCUCCUCAACACAAAAUAAAUACA